GUGCUCACUUCAGCAGCACAUAUAUUAAAAACUGGAAUGACACAGAGAAGAUUAGUAUGACCCCUGAGCAAAGAUGACAUGAAAAUUCAUGAAGCUUUUCAUAUUUUU